GACAUGGGCGAAGCCUAAUCCGCCGUUCCGCGUGAGUGAAGAAGGCCUUCGGGUUGUAAAGCUCUUUCGCAAGGGAAGAAACGAUGCAGUCGAAUAAACUGUGUUAAUGACGGUACCUUGAUAAGAAGCACCGGCUAACUACGUGCCAGCAGCCGCGGUAAUACGUAGGGUGCAAGCGUUAAUCGGAAUUACUGGGCGUAAAGCGUGCGCAGGCGGUUUUGUAAGUCAGAUGUGAAAUCCCCGAGCUCAACUUGGGAACUGCGUUUGAAACUACAAGACUAGAAUAUGUCAGAGGGGGGUAGAAUUCCACGUGUAGCAGUGAAAUGCGUAGAGAUGUGGAGGAAUACCAAUGGCGAAGGCAGCCCCCUGGGAUAAUAUUGACGCUCAUGCACGAAAG
rnacentral:rRNA from 1 species